UAGGAAAUGAAAGCCCAGAGAUGUGAUGAUUUUUAAGAGUUGAACUGAGCUGCAAGCUUGUGGAUCAUGUAAGUGCUAACAGAGGCAGACGGAGAAGGAAGAUCUGUCAUGAAGUGCUACGGUGGGAGGUGCGUCAGCUUGGGGUGGAGGGGUCCCAGGUGGCCCCAGGAGAAGAGGCCUCUGAACAAAGAAGACAAUGCUUGGGUUACGGUGGAAGGGACACGGA
rnacentral:lncRNA from 1 species